AUAUUUGUUAAGUUCAGUCCUCCAACAGACUUAGGCAUACAAACUUUCUCCCAAGCCACAUUGCUUUCUUAGUGAUGUUAACAGACCCUGACCAAAUGAAUGUUCUGCAUAUAGUCUCCAGCAGCUUAACAACUUUAGAUGGCAUGAUAAAUAAUUGAGACCAGUAAGCUUGAACUCCAAGAAUAACUGAUUGAACCAAUUGACAUCUGCCUGCAUAUGAUAA
rnacentral:lncRNA from 1 species